rnacentral:rRNA from 1 species
GACGAACGCUGGCGGCGUGCCUAAUACAUGCAAGUCGAGCGGACAGAUGGGAGCUUGCUCCCUGAAGUCAGCGGCGGACGGGUGAGUAACACGUGGGCAACCUACCUGUAAGACUGGGAUAACUUCGGGAAACCGGAGCUAAUACCGGAUACGUUCUUUUCUCGCAUGAGAGUAGAUGGAAAGAUGGUUUCGGCUAUCACUUACAGAUGGGCCCGCGGCGCAUUAGCUAGUUGGUGAGGUAAUGGCUCACCAAGGCAACGAUGCGUAGCCGACCUGAGAGGGUGAUCGGCCACCCUGGGACUGAGACACAGCCCAGACUCCUACGGGAGGCAGCAGUAGGGAAUCUUCCGCAAUGGGCGAAAGUCUGACGGAGCAACGCCGCGUGAACGAUGAAGGCCUUCGGGUCGUAAAGUUCUGUUGUUAGGGAAGAACAAGUACCAGAGUAACUGCUGGUACCUUGACGGUACCUAACCAGAAAGCCACGGCUAACUACGUGCCAGCCGCCGCAGUAAGAC